CCCUGGCUCAGGACGAACGCCGGCGGCGUGCCUAAUACAUGCAAGUCGAGCGGGUUUAUCCUUCGGGAUAAGCUAGCGGCGGACGGGUGAGUAACACGUAGGUAACCUGCCUUUAAGACUGGGAUAACUAUCGGAAACGAUAGCUAAGACCGGAUAACUGGUUUUCUCGCAUGGGAGAAUCAUAAAACACGGAGCAAUCUGUGGCUUGAAGAUGGGCCUGCGGCGCAUUAGCUAGUUGGUGAGGUAACGGCUCACCAAGGCGACGAUGCGUAGCCGACCUGAGAGGGUGAACGGCCACACUGGGACUGAGACACGGCCCAGACUCCUACGGGAGGCAGCAGUAGGGAAUCUUCCGCAAUGGACGCAAGUCUGACGGAGCAACGCCGCGUGAGUGAUGAAGGUUUUCGGAUCGUAAAGCUCUGUUGCCCUAGACGAACAGCAUGAGGAGUAACUGCCUUGUGUGUGACGGUAUAGGAGAAGAAAGCCCCGGCUAACUA
rnacentral:rRNA from 1 species